rnacentral:misc_RNA from 1 species
UUUCCGUAGGUGAACCUGCGGAAGGAUCAUUAUUGUAUAACCGAGGUGCGAGGGCUGUCGCUGACCCGAAAGGUCGUGCACGCCCGAGUGCCCUCACACACAUCCACCUCACCCCUAUGUGCACCACCGCGUGGGUCCCCCUUUGGCUUGUUCGGAGGGGGGCUUACGUUUUCACACAAACUUUGUAUGCAGUGUAGAAUGUAUUUUUUGUUUUUGCGAUCACGCAAUCAAUACAACUUUCAACAACGGAUCUCUUGGCUCCC